rnacentral:rRNA from 1 species
AUUGAACGCUAGCGGGAUGCUUUACACAUGCAAGUCGAACGAGUGGCGGACGGGUGAGUAAUAUAUCGGAACGUGCCCAGUAGCGGGGGAUAACUACUGGAACGAGUGGCUAAUACCGCAUACUAUGGGAGCGGCCGAUCUCGGAUUAGCUAGUUGGUGGGGUAAAGGCUCACCAAGGCAACGAUCCGUAGCGGGUUUGAGAGGACGACCAGCAACACUGGAACGGAGACACGGCCCAGACUCCUACGGAAGGCGGCAGUGGGGAAUUUUGGACAAUGGGGGAAACCCUGAUCCAGCCAUCCCGCGUUGAGGAGAAGGCCUUCGGGUUUUAAAGUACUUUUGGCAGAGAAGCGGUAUCUGCAGAAUAAGCACCGGCUAACUACGUGCCAGCCGCCGCGGUAAUUC